rnacentral:misc_RNA from 1 species
GAGUGGAGUGGUAUUCUGGGUAUUCUGCAUAAGCCCGCUCAUUGGUGGAAUCGGAUGUGCAAUUGUUCUCCUAACCGACAGAGAAUUACGACAAAAUAAAAGAAUAGUGUGGAUUUUACGCCGCAGAUGAGUGUAAGAGUGUAGGUGGACCGGUGAAAAAUGAUCAAAAUUACUUGAUGGCUAGCAACCAAGAUGAACCCACCAAAAAAGAAGCAGACCCAAACCAGACCCCAGUCACUCCAACCCCAGCCAAUGAUGACUGCGCCGAACAUCUGCAGAACUUGAACAGAGUCCGCAGAAGACUUGAUUUCGGCUGUGACAGCAGCGGCGAUGCAGAACAAGAACUCUGUUUACCCCUUGAAGUUUCCCAAAGCGACCGACAGAAGGCGAUCGAGAAAUGGAACUUCGAUUUCGAAAACGAAGUGCCCUUAGAAGGCGACUGGAUUUGGGAGAAAGUUCCAGCGGAGGAACCUUGCGAGAAUCUGCAGGUCAUAUCUUCGAUGGAGGAGAAACAAGUCGACAAUAGGAGUGUUUAGGUUUCUGUGUUCAUUUAUUAAAUCAAGAGUAUUUAUUCACUAGAAUUUAACAAGAUUGGUAUUUCAACAAGUGCUUCAAUUUUUGAACUAUAAAUUCACAUUUCAGUUUCUGAUCUGUAAUAUCUUCGAUACUUGAUAAUGUUGUGUCUAAGCAAUGUGAAUUUGUCGAUGGUUUAUCAAAAUUCAUUUCUGUACUAUAUAACUGAUGCACUUGUGGGGUUAAACUUUAGAAAUACCAAUUUAUAAGACUGAAGAAAGGCUGUCUUCUAGGUACCUUCUGAAAAUGUAACUGACUUUAUUAUACCAGUCCAGAAUGUCCAUGUCCAACACUUAUACACAAACUUAUUGUUUCUCAAAAUUGAAAAAUAACUCUUCAGUUCGAAAUAUACUUUUAAUAUGCUACUCUCUAUUCUAUAAUUUCCCUGUACAUAAGUUGAUUGUAAUAUCCAAAAGUAUUUAUAGAUGAUUUCAUAAAUGACGGUCACCUUGUGACAGGUUUUGUUUCCUGACGUCAGUGAUCAGAAAACCGCGUGAAACAUCAUAGAGUUAGCAAAAGAUGAAUUGAUUACUAAAAUUGAUACAAAAUAUCAAAUAUUCAUAAAUUUUCAGUGAUGAAACUUUUAUUGAUUUUAUUACAUUCUAAUAGCACAACCAAAAAAUACCGAAAUGAUUACUACAUUUUCAAUUUUUCACUGUCGUCAGAUCUCAAACUUAGUCGAUUGGUUUUUGAAUUGAAAAUUUCUAGUUUUGGUUAUGCAAUAUUUAUCUAGUCGGGAUAGUGUAAUAGAUAGAAUUAUUAUUUAUUUAUUUUAUUUUAUUAUUUUUUAUUUUUAGGGGUUGAGUUUCAACCCUAAAUACGGCUAUCAUACCAAAAAUUGUACAUAUUUUUAGGAUAAUAAUAAAUUAUGAAAUUAAAAGUAUUUUGUAUGUGAA